CAUCAAACAAAAACCCAUCAUCUCCCGCGCAGUCCCUCUCCUUCAUCCUCAUCCCAAACCAUAGCCCUCCAUCAGAGAUCUCAUCAUCAAACCCCAAAUUUGGUCCCUAUACCCACCGCCCUUUGCCUCCAUGGAGCCGGAAACCACCUCCACAUCCUCAUCAUCCUCCUCCGAUGACACUGGUGCCGACGGCAGCCCCAACUCAUCAUCCAACGCCCCAAACCCAAGAUCCGGCUCCGCUUCCACCAUUGUCGGCGCUGGCCCUGACAACUUGAUUUCCUUCUCUAAACUCUUCAUAACUGAGGCCAAGUCUCAUACAGUCAGAUCCCUAUAGUCAGCGUUAGCAUCAUCAUCAAGCUUAUCGAGAAAGAGGUCAUCUCUCAAGUAUACAAGGCCGGUCUGGGAAGAAGGGAAAGCGCGAGGAUAUUUUGUGAAGAAGGUCUGUUGUUUGAUCGUUAGAUGGAUGUCAUCACUUCAAUUCCCAAUCAAUUCCUCAUCUCCUACGUGCAAAACCCUUAAUCCUAAUCACGAACAAAGUCAUCAAUGGCGCCAACUGCCUUGCCACAUCGCCAGUGUCAUUGAACCCUAGCUUCUUCUUCUUCAAUGACAAAUCUGAAGAUCAUCAAAACACCGCCAUCACCGACACCCAGCUCUAGCUUGCCUGCCUCACCCUUCAAUAUCGCCAACUCACCGAUUGCUAUGACCUAUGCCUUUCCCAUCUCCAAGAUGUUGUAGACAAGCUUGAAGCCCUUCGCCAAGAGAACUCUAACCUUCUCAAAGAUCUCUGCAAUUCCUACAGGUGGAUACAUUUGGUUCUCGGACUGGAUGGGUUGGAUAUUCUGUUUCCAGCUAGUAAAGGGAAGUUGAAUAAAACUCCUUUUGUUUAAGGUGAAUGUCUAGCUCAUUCAUCUUUCCCUGAUUUACAGAUACUUUCCAUUUGGAGUAAAUGGAAUGCAUGCUGAAUCAACAACUGUUUUCUUUGGAUACAUUGGUUUUGAUUCAGCUGCUAGCACUGCUGAGAAGAAAUGGUAUGGAUUGGGCAGUGUAUGUUGUAACAUCUGGUGGUGUUCUUACAUUAUAAGCAAGGAAAUAAAUCAAGGCAGGAAAACUGAAUGAGCAAAUUAGAUGAAAAAGAGCAGCUUUAAGCAUAGCAUUGGUCUACAUAGGGGCCCUCACCCUCGCUUCUAUUGCUUCAGCAGCAUUUUUCCCGAAAUGAAGAACAUAAUGAGUUUUGAGAAGAGGAUACUUCAACGGUCAUAGCUUACCACGUAGGACUCACAACCUUUUACUGAUCAUGAUGUUGAUCUUCAUGAUUUAUAGUUGUAUUUGUUGUUUUGUAGUAUUUUGUGUCGAACAUAUAUGCUUGAACAAUUUUUUUAUAUUAAUUGAUGAAUUUGUCUUA